GACGAACGCUGGCGGCGUGCCUAAUACAUGCAAGUAGAACGCACAGUUUAUACCGUAGCUUGCUACACCAUAGACUGUGAGUUGCGAACGGGUGAGUAACGCGUAGGUAACCUGCCUGGUAGCGGGGGAUAACUAUUGGAAACGAUAGCUAAUGCCGCAUAAUAUUGAUUAUUGCAUGAUAAUUGAUUGAAAGAUGCUAUUGCAUCACUACCAGAUGGACCUGCGUUGUAUUAGCUAGUAGGUGAGGUAACGGCUCACCUAGGCGACGAUACAUAGCCGACCUGAGAGGGUGAUCGGCCACACUGGGACUGAGACACGGCCCAGACUCCUACGGGAGGCAGCAGUAGGGAAUCUUCGGCAAUGGACGAAAGUCUGACCGAGCAACGCCGCGGGAGUGAAGAAGGUUUUCGGAUCGUAAAGCUCUGUUGUAAGAGAAGAACGGGUGUGAGAGUGGAAAGUUCACACUGUGACGGUAGCUUACCAGAAAGGGACGGCUAACUACGUG
rnacentral:rRNA from 1 species